AAUAUUUAGAUUGCAAACAUGAAACAAAUAGACGACAAUUCGUAUAUUCAGUCACGAUCUCAUUUCCAACGAAAAUGGCUGAACUCGAACCACUAAAGGCAGAAGUCCCCGACAAAAAAACACUCAAAGAAAAAUACCUUUACAUUAAAGAAAACGCAACGGUCGAACCAGUUUUAGCUUUCUACGUGAUACCUAGUGUUCUGACUAAAUUAGCUAGCCAAAAUCUUAGUCUUGAUAAAGCUUGUCGAGUCAACAAGAACUACGGAGAGGAAAUCUGUGAUGCUCUUCUAAAUAGAGAGGGAACAAAGUACUUAAAAGAAGAAUUAGACAUCCAAGAACUGAUAGCUGGUAUAGAAACAUGGAAAAAUGUAUUAUUAACAGCGAUGCCAAGUUUCUUAAUACUUUUUCUCGGAGCGUGGAGUGACAGAACGGGAAAGAGAAAAAUGUGUAUUCUCUUACCAAUAAUAGGAGAGCUUCUCGCAUGUAUCAGCAAUUUGGUCAACACGUAUUUCUUUUAUGAGCUUCCGGUAGAAGUCAUGGCGUUUUUUGAAGCUUUCUUACCGGCUGUUACUGGUGGGUGGGUUGCUACUUAUAUGGGAGUGUUCAGCUAUAUCAGUGAUGCGUCCAGUGAGGAAACUAGAACAUUUAGAGUGGGCAUCGCCAACCUCUGUCUGACGGCUGGUUCUCCCAUUGGAUCAGUAUUAAGUGGUAUUAUUUUGAAGCACGCUGGCUACUACGGAGUGUUUUCUUUGAGCUGCUUGUUAUAUUUUAUUAGUAUUAUUUAUGGUUUCGUGAACAUAAAAGAUAAAGUACAAAGUUUGCCGGAGAAAAAUGAAAAGGAAGAAGCUAAGAGCCCGUGCGGCUUUCUUAAGUCGUUCUUCGACAUAAAGCACGUCAAGGACACUUUAAACGUCGCAUUCAAGAAAGGACCUAAUCACCGCAGGACAAAGUCUAUUUUGAUACUGGCUAUGAUCGCUUUCAUUUAUGGAUCUUCGACUGGUGAAAAUACAGUGAAAUAUCUUUUCUGUCGCUACAGAUUUAAUUGGGAUGCUCUGAACUACAGUUUCUACAACACGUUUUACAUCUGCAUACACUUAUUGGGUGCAUUCAUUUCAAUAAGUCUGUUUAGCCGCAGAUUGCAAUGGAAUGACUCCGUUUUAGGACUGAUUUCGAACUGUAGUAAAAUAAUUGGAAGCCUUGCUACUGGAUUCGCUAGAAACACCCAAGAAAUGUAUAUAGCUGUCGCAAUAGAAACUUUCAAUGCAACUUCUUUCACAGCCAUGAGAUCUAUUUCCUCCAAACUAGUCUCAAGUGAUGAACUGGGAAAAAUGAUUUCAGUUUUUAAUCUUAUAGAAGUCUUGACGUCCAUGACGUUUAGUCCGCUUUAUUCUUGGAUCUAUAUGUUCACCGUUAAAAUAAACGCCGGUAUUAUUUAUUACGUCAGCACUAUUCUGGCUGUGCCACCUGUAAUCAUUUUUGGAUGGUUCUACCUACAGCAUAAAAAGAGUUGUCAAAAAACGAAAUGUACCAUUAUUAUUGAGCGGCUAGAGAAAACCGAUAUUGACAGUGACAAAAUCAAAUCAAAGAAUGACAACACAUGAUACACAGAAUCAACAAAUAGAAAUUUUGUAAUAAUAAUAUUUGGAGAAUUCAAAGCACAGAGUGAAAUGAACUCUCACGCGUGAUAAUGUUCUCGUAUCAGUAUACUUUAAGCUAUCUCGAGACGAAGACAAUAAAAUGUCAAGUGAAAAUACAAAGGAAGAAAUCAACGAACAAGUACCAAUUAAUGAAAAAGAUAAUGUGAACAAUAAAGACGAAUUCGAGAAUCGGAGUUUCUUUGAUAAACUGUGCGAAAUCAAAUCUAACAUAACAGUGGAGCCAAUUUUCGCGGGAUUAAUUAUACCUUCGACUUUGGCCAGAUUGGCGAUACAAAAUUUGAAUUUAGACAAAGCAUGCCGCGUCAAAUCACAGUUCGGAGACGUUGUCUGCGACGCACUGAUCGAACGGAAAGGCAAUUACACAACUCAAGAAGCCGAGAUCCAGCAAAUAAUUUCACAUAUUGAAUCAUGGAGGACUAUUAUACAGACCGCCAUACCCACACUUCUGGUUAUCUUCAUGGGAGCUUGGAGCGACAGGACGGGCAACAGAAAAA